UAACACAGUGCACGUACAAAUGCACCGGACGCCCCCCCCAACCCGAGAAAGAGAGGCCAAAUUUAGGAUCGAGUCUCUUCUCUUCCUUGGCCAAAAUUCACAUGUCGAUCAAUCCCACCAUGUAGCUUCGCUUGCCCUCAUGUCCUCCAUCACAGGUACAUGUCCCUCCUCUCCUUUCUUUUAUCUAUCCUUGUUCUUUUCUCUCCUAUAUCUCCUACAUCUAUCGUCUAAAAUUUAUUUUCGUUUUUUAGGGUAAUUUUUCUUCUUCUGUUAUCUUUCAAUUCGGUAAUAAAUCUAAUCUCAGUUUAUUUAUUUGUAAUAUCUGCACCUUGUUCAUUCAUUUGUGCUAAAUCAAAUCAGAUUUUGGUUAUAUGUGGUGAUUUUGGUUGUCAAUCAAUUUUGAUUUUGGAUAUAUGUGCACCACAUGUUUGAUGUUUUGUCCAUCUGUUGCAAAAUUUUGAAAUCCUUAUGUUUACAGUCCAAUAUGAUUGUAUACAUAUGUAAAAAGUUUUAUACCUUUAGGUUUGCGUAUUUGGUGUCACAACAAAUAAGUUCCCUAGUUCUCACACAGGUGAAUUUGACAGAUGACAACUACACUAAUAAUAAAACAUAUAUAAUAAACACAGUACAUUAAAUGAUUGUAUAAUGAUUGACUUAGAACAUGAACAAUUUUUUUAUACUCUAUUAGUCUCAAAAUGAGUGUCCACAUUUAAAAGUGAGCUUUUAAGAAGAGCUUGAAUAUAGCAUUAUCAAUGGCCAAGAUCACAACAUACAGGAUGUAAUCAAGGUUUCAAGCAAUGUUAAAAAAUUUAGCCUAGAAAAUGUAUCAUGAUAAGAUUAUAAAGCAAAUUAAGCAAUAUCUCUGACACCUUAUAUACCUUUAGGUUUGCGUAUUAGAUGUCACAACCCCACUGUUCAAAUAAGUUGCCUAGUUCUCACACAGGUGAAUUUGACAGAUGACAACUACACUAGCUGAAUAGAGAAUUCAUGUUCUUUACCUAAUUAACUUUUUGACCUUUUUCCUAAAUAACCUCAUCAUUCUAGUUUUCCCAUUUUUUACAAAUUAAUUGUAAAGUUUUUAUUUUUGUGAUUAAUGCAGAUUAACUAUGAAGUUUACACAUGAAUAUUUGCACUUACUCACCAUAUACUGAUUAGAUACAUAUUUCAGUCUUUUGAAGCUUUCGAGUGUCCACAUAGGUAUAACAUGAAUAUGGAUUUCCUGUUCAUUUAAUGUGAACCACUGCAUAUCUUCUUUAGGGAGACCUAAGCAAUCCAAAAGACGCAGCUUUGCAGCAUUGACAUAGAUUUUCUUGCGCAAAACCCGAGCAACCUCUAUAAAUAGCCUUUCUUUUCCUAUUUUCAAAAAGAAACAAAUGGAAGGAAAAGAAUAAAUGUUUCUGUAGAGAUGAGAAUGUUGUAUAAUAGAAAUUAUAGUACCAGAUAUACUAUAAAUUUAUUUUCUUAUGUUUUUCGUUUGGACUUCAUGUCCAUCGAUGCUUGAAGAAUCAGGUCAUCUUCUUUAGCCUUUGGAUCUGGUUACAUUAAAGGUCUUGGGUAUGGUCCAAAACCUCAAAGCAUGCGCAUUACAUUAUCUGAUUUAGCUACCCAACAACUCCAAAAGGAACUUCAAGAGACGCAACAAAAGCUACAAAUGUCUGACUCUCAAGUAAAUGAUCUUAAGACACAAGUGGCUGAAAAUAUCAACAAACUUAUGGAAAUUAUGGCUGCUAAUGGGAUGAACAUCUAGGCUGAAAAGAAUCAUGUAAGUAAUAAAUACUUUUAAACUUCAAUGAAGCUUUCAAAUGUUGUUUUCCAUUGUUUAUGAGACGAACAUGAUUUUAUAUCUUAUUCUCUAUAUGGGACAAACAUGAUCUUUAUUACUUUGAGUAAUAAAUAUGCUUAUAAAGGUUUGUUAAUGUUCAAUGAAUCUUGAGACUGGUUGUGUUUAUGGUUUAUGUUCAUAUGAACUCAAUGCAUGAGCAGAAGUUGUCUAGAUAAUAUGCUUUCAAGUUUUCUCUAUAACAUGCACUUAAGCAAUGUAUUUUUUUUUGAACUUUUUAUAUGAACAUGAGUUUGAUGAAUUUGAUUUUAUCGGUUCAUUUAUUUUAUUUUAUUGUUCAAAGUUAACUGUUUGAUGAAUUUGAGCUUAAGUUCAUUAGUUGCUUGAUUACAUUUGACUAAUAAUUUUAUUGUACCAUAUUUAUAAGGCUAAAAAGAUAGGAUAACUUUUUUAGUAAUGUUAUAGUUAUAGUUCUAGAAAAUUCACAAAUUAUUAUUUAAAUAUUUCUUUCUUUAUAUACUUUUUUGUUUAAAUUUUAUAAUCAUUUUACUAAUUUAUGUCUAUAUAUUUUGAUGAAUUUGCAGAUAGAGUUUUUUCUGGAAGGUCAAUAACCACAAGGUUGGAGGUUUUAAUUAGGUAUUUUCUUAGGAUAUAAUUUGGUUUUGUGGUACUUAGAUUAUUUAAGCAACUGUUCAUUUUAAUUGCCUAGUUGGGUAUUUUGUUAAAUUAGUGAAUCUACUAUAUUUUUUUUAUAAGAUAAUUACUUUUUAUUUUAAAUGUUUAUUGUCUUUUCUCUCUUAUAUUAUAUGCAGGUGUAAAGUUGAUUUAAAAAGGUCACUAAAUGUAUUAUAUUUUUAUUGAAAAGUGUUAAUAUAACAAUAUAUUUAGAAUGUCAAACAACUUAAUAUGAC
rnacentral:lncRNA from 1 species